CCAUUUUUCCUGUCUCGAGGCAGUUCUCACAUAUCAUCUGCUUCAAUCCAGGAAAAAGAGGGGGAAGGAUUUGAACGCAAACACUGAAAUGAAAGAGAAUUCACUAGGAGUUCAUCCGACUAGGUGAGAAUAGCUGAAUAGUUCCGACAGGUGCCUGGAGCCAGAAGGAGCAAAUAUUUUCUCACUAUGCUACAAAAGUUCAUGCUUUUUCUUCUUGGAUUGGUGGUACAAAAUUUCUGCUCCCCGCCUGAAACUACAGAGCAGGCAAAAAGGUGUGAUAAGACAUCUCUGCUUACAAUUAGGACUGAGUGCCAAUCCUGCUUGCUCAACUUAGAAAUUAAGUGCCCAGAUGGUUACACAAAGGUUACCAAUGGCUCCGUAGGGGUUCGAGAUUGCAGGUACACCUUUGAAAUCAGGAAGUACUCGCUGUCUCUCCCUGGAUGCCGCCAUAUCUGUAGGAAGGACUAUGUCCAACCUCAGUGCUGUCCAGGCCAUUGGGGCCCAGACUGCAUGGAGUGCCCGGGAGGUGCCCGGUCCCCCUGCAACGGCAGGGGCAGUUGUGCGGAAGGCAUGGAAGGAAACGGAAGCUGCUCCUGCCAGGACGGGUUUGGGGGAGCAGCCUGUGAAACCUGCACGGAUGACAAUGUAUUUGGACCCAGCUGCUCAGCAGUGUGCAGCUGUGUGCACGGCAUAUGCAAUGGUGGGGUGGACGGUGAUGGAAGCUGUGAGUGCUACUCCGGGUACACUGGCCCCAACUGUGACAAGCCCAUCCCUGAAUGUGCAGACUUGCUCUGCCCAGAAAAUUCCAGAUGCUCACCUUCCAGCCAAGAUGAAACAAAACUAGUAUGCAAAUGCCUUCCCAAUUACCAAGGCGAUGGCCAAUACUGUGAACCCAUCAAUCCAUGUUUAAAAGAAAUAUGCCAUCCUCACGCUCUUUGCACGUACGAGGGACCGAAUCGGCACAGUUGCACGUGCCAAGAAGGCUACCACGGGGAUGGCCGAGUGUGCUUACCAGUGGACCCCUGCCAGACGAACUAUGGAAACUGCUCUGCAAAGUCUACAGUGUGCAUUUAUGACGGUCCUGGACAGUCUCACUGUGAGUGUAAGAAACAUUACCGCGAUUACGUGCCCGGAGUGGGGUGCAGUGUGAUCGAUGUCUGUAAACUCAAUAACCCCUGUCACAGGAAUGCUAACUGCACUACCAUCGCACCAGGCCAAACCAAAUGCACUUGCCGGAAAGGUUACGUGGGUGACGGCUCGACGUGUUAUGGAAACAUCAUGGAGCGACUCAGAGAAUUAAACACUGAACCCAGAGGAAAAUGGCAAGGAAGGCUGACCUCUUUCAUCUCGCUCCUGGACAAAGCCUAUGCCUGGCCACUAAGUAACCUGGGACCAUUCACUGUGCUGUUGCCCACAGACAAGGGACUAAGAGGAUUCAGUGUAAAAGAGCUCUUGAUGGAUAAACAAUCUGCUCAGUACUUUGUGAAACUCCAUGUAAUUGCUGGGCAGAUGAACACUGAGAGUAUGAAUAACACAGACACCUUCUAUACCUUGACUGGAAAGUCGGGAGAAAUCUUCAAUGACGAUAAGGACAAUCAAAUAAAGCUUAAACUCUAUGGAGGCAAAAAGAAGGCAAAAAUUAUACAAGGGAACAUAGUUGCUUCCAAUGGGCUCCUGCACAUACUCGACAGAGCCAUGGACAAGAUGGCACCCACAUUUGAGAGCAACACUGAGAAAACCAUAAUGACAAUGUUACAACCAAGAUACAGCAAGUUCAGAUCUUUGCUAGAGGAAACCAAUGUGGGACAUGCUUUAGAUGAAGACGGGGCUGGUGGACCAUACACCAUUUUUGUUCCAAGUAAUGAAGCAUUAGUUAAUAUGAAGGAUGGCACUCUUGAUUACCUCCUUUCUCCAGAGGGAUCUCGGAAGCUUCUGGAACUCGUCAGAUACCACAUUGUCCCAUUUACUCAGCUUGAAGUGGCCACUCUCAUUUCAACCCCACACAUUAGGAGCAUGGCCAACCAGAUCAUACAGUUCAACACAACCAACAACGGACAGAUUCUGGCAAAUGGUGUAGCAAUGGAAGACACUGAAGUCACUGCCAAAAAUGGUCGAAUCUACACCCUGACUGGAGUUCUUGUUCCUCCCUCCAUUGUGCCCAUUCUGCCUCACCGAUGUGAUGAAACCAAGAGAGAGAUGAAAUUGGGCACCUGUGUGAGCUGUUCCCUGGUGUAUUGGAGCAAAUGUCCUGCUAAUUCUGAGCGCACAACGCUCUUCACGCACAGAUGUGUCUACACUGGCAGAAUAAGGAGCCUGAAGAGCGGCUGUGCCAGAUACUGUAACGCCACUGUGAAGAUACCAAAGUGCUGCAAAGGCUUCUAUGGGCCGGACUGCAACCAGUGUCCAGGAGGCUUCUCGAAUCCGUGCUCUGGGAACGGCCAGUGCGCAGAUGGCCUCGACGGCAACGGGACGUGCAUUUGCCAGGAUGGCUUCCAAGGCUCCCAGUGCCAGUUCUGCUCAGACCCCAACAAAUAUGGACCCCGGUGUGACAAAAAAUGUCUGUGCAUUUACGGAACGUGCAAUAACAGGAUCGACAGUGACGGGGCCUGCCUGGCCGGCACGUGCAGAGAAGGCUCCACAGGGACGUUCUGCCACAAGCAGACCUCCACCUGCGGGCCCUACGUACAGUCCUGUCAUAUCCACGCCACCUGUGAAUACAGCAAUGGGACAGCAAGCUGUGUUUGCAAAGCAGGAUACGAAGGGGACGGAAGCCUCUGUUCAGAGACGGACCCUUGCGCAGGAUUCACCCCGGGGGGCUGCAGCCACAAUGCAGAAUGCAUCAAAACCGGCCCGGGGACCCACACAUGCGUGUGCCAGCAGGGAUGGACCGGGGACGGCAGAGACUGCUCGGAGAUCAACAAUUGCCUGUUGCCCGGCACCGGUGGCUGCCACGUCAAUGCAACCUGUUUGUAUGUGGGCCCCGGGCAGAAUGAGUGUGAAUGCAAGGAAGGAUUUCGAGGCAAUGGGAUUGAUUGCGAAGAAAUCACUUCGUGCUUGGAACAAACUGGGAAAUGUCAUCCACUGGCAACCUGUCAGUUUACUUCUUCUGGCGUCUGGAGCUGUGUUUGCCAAGAGGGCUAUGACGGAGAUGGCCUUCUGUGCUAUGGAAAUGCAGCCGUGGAGUUGUCAUUUCUCUCUGCGGCAGCUAUAUUUAACCAGUGGAUAAAUAAUGCUUCUCUACAAGCCAUGCUGUCAGCCGCCUCAAACCUCACUGUCCUCGUGCCCUCCCUGCAAGCUAUUGAGAACAUGGACCAAGAUGAAAAAGCCUUUUGGUUGUCCAAGAGCAAUAUUCCAGCCCUAAUAAAAUACCAUGUGCUACUAGGCACGUACAGAGUGGCAGAUCUGUGGGCUCUGUCACCUUCUGACAUGCUGGCAACGUCUUUGCAGGGCAACUUCCUUCACCUGGCAAAGGCAGAUGGGAAUAUCACAAUCGAAGGAGCAUCUGUCAUUGACAGCGACAAUGCAGCCACAAAUGGCGUGAUACACAUCAUCAACAAGGUUCUGGUGCCUCGAAGAAGUCUAACUGGCUCCCUACCAAACCUGCUCACGCGGCUGGACCAGAUGCCCAACUAUUCCAUCUUCCGGGGCUACAUCAUUCAAUAUAAUCUGGCGAGUGCGAUCGAGGCAGCUGAUGCUUAUACAGUGUUUGCUCCAAACAAUGAUGCCAUUGAGAAUUACAUCCGGGAGAAGAAGAUUGCGACUCUAGAGGAGGACGUGCUCAGGUAUCACGUGGUCUUGGAGGAGAAACUCCUGAAGAACAACCUGCACAACGGCAUGCACCGGGAGACCAUGCUGGGCUUUUCCUUCUUCGUCGGCUUCUUCCUCCGUGACGACCAGCUCUAUGUAAAUGAGGCUCCAAUAAACUACACCAAUGCAGCCACUGACAAGGGAGUGAUCCAUGGUUUGGGGAAAGUUCUGGAAAUUCAGAAGAAUAGAUGUGACAACAACGACACUAUGAUUGUACAAGGGAAAUGUGGGAAGUGUUCCCAACAGCCGAUCUGCCCACCUGGAACUAAACCACUAGGUGAAGAGACAAGGAGAUGUAUCUACACCUUUUAUUUCAUGGGCAAGCGAUCCGUGUUCAUUGGGUGCCAGCCAAACUGUAUGAAAACCGUCAUUACGAGAGAAUGCUGUGCCGGCUUCUUUGGCCCCCAGUGCCAGCCCUGCCCAGGGAAAGCCGAGAACGUCUGCUUUGGAAACGGGAUCUGCUUGGACGGGCUGAACGGCACGGGCGUGUGCGAGUGUGGAGAGGGCUUCGGGGGCACGGCCUGUGAGACCUGCACCGAGGGCAAGUACGGCCCCCAAUGCGACCAAGCGUGUUCUUGUGUCCACGGGAGAUGCAGCCAAGGACCCUCGGGUGACGGCUCCUGCGACUGUGAGGUUGGCUGGCGAGGAGUGACAUGUGACAGUGAGAUCACCAAAGACGACUGCAAUGGGGUAUGCCACACCAGCGCCAACUGCCUUGUCAAUCCGGACGGGACAGCCUCAUGCAGAUGUGCAGCAGGAUUCCAAGGGAAUGGAACAGUCUGCACAGCCAUCAAUGCCUGUGAGACCAGCAAUGGAGGUUGCUCUGCCAAGGCUGACUGUAAAAGAACCACUCCAGGAAGCCGGGUGUGUGUGUGCAAGGCAGGCUAUACAGGCGACGGCAUCGUGUGUCUAGAGAUCAACCCAUGUUUGGAGAACAACGGUGGCUGUCACAAGAACGCAGAGUGCACACAGACGGGACCCAACCAGGCAGUGUGUAACUGUUUGCCCAAGUACACUGGCGACGGGAAGGUCUGCACGUUCAUCAACACCUGCUUAACCAAAAAUGGCGGAUGUAGUGAAUUUGCCAUCUGCAAUCACACUGGACAAGGAGAAAGGACAUGUAAUUGCAAGCCAAACUACAUCGGGGAUGGGCUCACCUGCCGCGGCAACAUCUAUCAGGAGCUUCCCAAGAACCCAAAAACAUCCCAAUACUUCUUCCAGCUGCUGGAACAUUCUGUGCGAGAUCUGAGCGGUCCGGGCCCUUUCACUGUCUUUGCACCUUUAUCUGCAGCUUUUGAUGAGGAACCUCGGAUUAAAGACUGGGACCAACAGGGCCUCAUGCCCCAGGUUCUUCGUUAUCAUGUGAUCGCCUGCCACCAACUGCUUCUAGAAAACCUGAAAUCGACCCCAAAUGCUACCUCUCUCCAAGGGGAGUCAAUCAUCAUCUCCGUCUCUCAGGACACGGUGUAUAUAAAUAAUAAGGCUAAGAUCAUAUCCAGUGAUCUCAUCAAUACCAAUGGCAUCAUCCACAUCAUAGACAAAUUGCUGUCUCCUCAAAACUUGCUUGUCACCCCCAAAGAUGCCUCUGGAAGGAUCCUGCAAAAUCUUACAACAGUGGCAAUAAACCACGGCUACACCAAAUUUCACGACCUACUACAGGACGUGGGCUUGCUGAGCAUCAUCACUGACCCCAUCCACACUCCAGUCACUCUCUUCUGGCCCAGCGACCAAGCCCUGCAAGCCCUACCCCCUGAACAGCAGGAUUUCCUGUUCAACCAAGACAACAAGGACAAGCUGAAGGAGUAUCUGAAGUUCCACGUGAUCCGAGAUGCCAAGAUUUUAGCGGUGGAUCUCCCCAGAUCUGCUGCCUGGACGACCCUGCAAGGCUCUGAGCUGGGCGUGAAGUGCGGCACUGGCCGUGACGUUGGCGAGCUCUUCCUGAAUGACCAAACAUGCAGAAUUGUACAACGGGAACUCUUGUUUGACCUGGGUGUGGCCUACGGCAUUGACUGUCUACUGAUUGAUCCCACCCUGGGGGGCCACUGUGACACUUUUGCCGCAUACAAUUUUUCGGGAGAUUGUUGGAGUUGUGACAAUACCCCCAGCUGCCCGAGGUGGAGUAAAUCAAAGGGAGUGAAGCAGAAGUGUCGAUACUACCUGUCCUUGAGAGGGUACGUGGAAGGCUGCCGGGAGCAGUGCGUCAUGGUGGUUCGGCUCCCCAGGUGCUGCAAGGGCUACUUCGGGCGAGACUGUCAGGCCUGCCCUGGAGGAGCGGAUGCCCCUUGUAAUAACCGGGGGGUCUGCCUCGAUCAGUACUCGGGCCUAGGAGAGUGUAAAUGCCACACCGGCUUCAACGGGACGGCGUGCGAGCUGUGCCUGCCCGGGAGAUUCGGGCCUGACUGUCAGCCCUGUGGCUGCUCAGACCACGGACAGUGUGACGAUGGCACCGCGGGCUCCGGGCAGUGCCUGUGCAAAACGGGGUGGACGGGGCGAUUCUGCGACAUUCAGACAGUUUUGCCCCCAGUGUGCACGCCUCCUUGUUCAGCUGAUGCCACCUGCAAGGAGAACAACACGUGUGAGUGUAACCUGAGCUACGAAGGGGACGGAAUAACAUGCACAGUUGUGGAUUUCUGCAAACAGAACAAUGGGGGCUGUGCCAAGGUCGCCAAGUGUUCCCAGAAGGGCACGAGGGUCUCCUGCAGCUGUCAGAAGGGCUACAAGGGGGACGGCCGCAGCUGCAUAGAGAUAGACCCCUGCGCCGACGGCCUCAACGGAGGGUGUCAUGAGCAUGCCACCUGCAAGAUGACCGGCCCGGGCAAGCACAGGUGUGAGUGCAAGAGUCAUUACGUGGGAGACGGGCUGGACUGCGAGCCGGAGCGGCUGCCGGUGGACCGCUGUUUGCAGGACAACGGGCUGUGCCAUGCCGCUGCCAGCUGCACCGACCUCCACUUCCAAGACGCCACCGUUGGAGUGUUCCAUCUACGCUCCCCACUGGGCCAGUAUAAGUUGACCUUUGACAAAGCCAAAGAGGCCUGUGCCAACGAAGCCGCGACCAUGGCAACCUACAACCAGCUCUCCUACGCUCAGAAGGCCAAGUACCACCUGUGUUCUGCAGGCUGGCUGGAGAGCGGGCGGGUUGCUUACCCCACAGCCUAUUCCUCCCAGAACUGUGGCUCCGGUGUCGUUGGAAUUAUAGACUAUGGACAAAGAAACAACAAGAGUGAAACGUGGGACGUCUUCUGCUAUCGGAUGAAAGAUGUGAAUUGCACCUGUAAGGUUGGCUACGUGGGAGAUGGCUUCUCGUGCAGUGGGAAUCUGUUGCAGGUCCUGAUGUCCUUCCCCUCGCUGACAAACUUCCUGAGGGAAGUGCUGGCCUAUUCCAACAGCUCGGCCAGAGGCCGGGCAUUUCUGAAACACCUGACUGACCUAUCGAUCCGCAGCACCCUCUUUGUGCCACAGAACGGCGGGCUGGGCGAAAACGAGACGCUGUCUGGGCGGGACAUCGAGCACCACCUCGCCAAUGUCAGCGUCUUUUUUUACGAAGAUCUUGUCAACGGCACCGUCCUGCAAACUAAGCUGGGAAGCCAGCUGCUCAUCUCCUCUAGCCAGGACCAGCAACAACUGGAGACCAGGUUUGUCGAUGGAAGAGCCAUUCUUCAGUGGGACAUCUUUGCCUCCAAUGGGAUCAUUCAUGUCAUUUCCAGGCCUUUAAAGGCACCCCCCGCCCCAUUGGCCUCAGUCCAUGCUGGCUUGGGAACAGGGAUAUUCUUCGCCACCAUCCUGAUCGUCGGAGCCGCCGCUCUGGCUGCCUAUUCUUACUUUCGACUAAACCGGAGAACAAUUGGCUUCCAGCAUUUUGAGCCUCUGCAUGUCUUAGCAGUCCGAAGAGGAUAUCAACGUUGCAGCUCUUGGGAAGCAGCAGCCUGAGAAUAUACCGAACCCCUUGUAUGAGAGCACUCCCUCUGCUCCCCCAGAACCUUCCUGCGACCCCUUCAUGGACGCUGAAGACCGGCAGCCGGACGGCAGUGACCCCCUGGGGGCGCUGUGAGGGCCCAGACCUGCGGUGGCCCGCCAUCCCCGCGGCCCGUCAGCCAGAGCCGCCUCGAGGCUGUCAGCUGCGAAUCCUCAGGACGUCGCCUUUCGGAAAGGAAGGUCCCUUGACGUUUUAAAGUAUGAAGCGCUCAAGCAAUACCUCAUCUCUUUGGUUAAUCUGAAGGAUCGCUUUGUUUCUGUGGGUGAGGGGCCACGUUAAGUCCACCCACCAACCGGGG